CAUACUUCAAGCUUCUGCUUGGUGUUGAAUGGUAUCUCAUUGAUUCAUUCCAAACUCAUUGGCAUUUGUCCUUUGGUCUAUUGCGUGACAGAAAUCUCUCGCUAUUUGACGAAGCAACAAAUUGCCGGUUUAGUUGGCAACAACGAAU
rnacentral:misc_RNA from 1 species